UGACUGGUUCAGUGUGUUUGCAUAUGUGUGCUGCCUCUCUGCUUCCAGCAGUUAAAGCUCAGUGUUGAUCAGUGGCUGUCCAGACCUUUCAGAGACUCGGACUCGCCCGCAGCACAAUGAUGAUGUCACUGACUCUGCUGCUCUUCACCCUGGAGCUCCUCGUUCAGGCUUCAUCAGAAGAAAUCAUCCUGACUCAGACUCCUGAAGCUCAGUCUGUAGUUCAAGGACAGACUGUCUCCAUCAGAUGUAAAUCCAGUAGUCUCAUUGGUGAUGACAUAGACUGGUAUCUUCAGAAACCGGGAGAAGCUCCUAAACUGCUGAUAGCUGAUACUACAUCUCGUCAGUCUGGAGUUCCAGAUCGUUUCAGUGCAACUGCAGUUCAGACUGACUUCACUCUGACCAUCAGCAGAGUUCAGCCUGAAGAUUCAGGAGUUUAUUACUGUCAGCAGCAUAACAGCUUCCCGUACACGUUUGGUGGAGGAACCAGACUGGGGUUUGGAAAUGACACCAGUCCAUCCCUGACUGUGCUCCUCACCUCCACGAAGGAGCUGCAGCAGGGGAAGGCCACACUCAUGUGUGUGGCCAACAAGGGCUUCCCCUCAGACUGGACUCUGUCCUGGAAGGUGGACGGCUGCAUUAAGAGCAGCAGCUGCUGGGAGGAGAGCAGGAGCCCCGGGGUGCUGCAGAAGGACGGCCUCUACAGCUGGAGCAGCACCCUGAGGCUCUCUGCAGACCAGUGGGAGAAGGUGACCUGUGAGGCCAAGAGAGGAUCCCAGACUGCAGUCUCAGAGACUCUCAGGAGAGACCAGUGCUCCCAGUCCUGAAAUAUUAUGCCUUUUCAGUCUAUUCUUUGAGAUGUUCU